CCUACGGGAGGCUGCAGUGAGGAAUAUUGGUCAAUGGGCGGAAGCCUGAACCAGCCAAGUAGCGUGCGGGAUGAAGGCCCUACGGGUCGUAAACCGCUUUUGCACGGGGAUAACACCCUCCACUUGUGGAGGUCUGCAGGUACCGUGCGAAUAAGGGCCGGCUAAUUCCGUGCCAGCAGCCGCGGUAAUACGGAAGGCCCGAGCGUUAUCCGGAUUCAUUGGGCUUAAAGGGAGCGUAGGCGGGCGUUCAAGUCAGCUGUAAAAUCGCGCGGCUCAACCGCGCCCCGCAGUUGAAACUGGACGCAUUGAGUGCACAACAGGCAGGCGGAAUUCGUGGUGUAGCGGUGAAAUGCAUAGAUAUCACGAGGAACCCCGAUUGCGAAGGCAGCCUGCCGGGGUGCGACUGACGCUGAGGCUCGAAGGUGCGGGUAUCAAACAGGAUUAGAUACCCCAGUAGUC
rnacentral:rRNA from 1 species